UACGUAGGGGCAAGCGUUGUCCGGAAUCAUUGGGCGUAAAGAGCGUGUAGGCGGUCCGGUAAGUCGGCUGUGAAAGUCCAGGGCUCAACCCUGGGAUGCCGGUCGAUACUGCCGGACUAGAGUUCGGAAGAGGCGAGUGGAAUUCCCGGUGUAGCGGUGAAAUGCGCAGAUAUCGGGAGGAACACCUAUGGCGAAGGCAGCUCGCUGGGACGUUACUGACGCUGGAGACGCGAAAGCGUGGGAGCAAACAGG
rnacentral:rRNA from 1 species